GGUUAAGUUAGAAAGGGCGCACGGUGGAUGCCUUGACACUAGGAGUCGAUGAAGGACGGGACUAACGCCGAUAUGCUUCGGGGAGCUGUAAGUAAGCUUUGAUCCGAAGAUUUCCGAAUGGGGAAACCCACCAUACGUAAUGGUAUGGUAUCCUUACCUGAAUACAUAGGGUAAGGAAGACAGACCCAGGGAACUGAAACAUCUAAGUACCUGGAGGAAGAGAAAGCAAAUGCGAUUUCCUGAGUAGCGGCGAGCGAAACGGAACAUAGCCCAAACCAAGAGGCUUGCCUCUUGGGGUUGUAGGACAUUCUAUACGGAGUUACAAAGGAACGAGGUAGACGAAGCGACCUGGAAAGGUCCGUCGUAGAGGGUAACAACCCCGUAGUCGAAACUUCGUUCUCUCUUGAAUGUAUCCUGAGUACGGCGGAACACGUGAAAUUCCGUCGGAAUCUGGGAGGACCAUCUCCCAAGGCUAAAUACUCCCUAGUGAUCGAUAGUGAACCAGUACCGUGAGGGAAAGGUGAAAAGCACCCCGGAAGGGGAGUGAAAGAGAUCCUGAAACCGUGUGCCUACAAAUAGUCAGAGCCCGUUAACGGGUGAUGGCGUGCCUUUUGUAGAAUGAACCGGCGAGUUACGAUCCCGUGCGAGGUUAAGCUGAAGAGGCGGAGCCGCAGCGAAAGCGAGUCUGAAUAGGGCGUUUAGUACGUGGUCGUAGACCCGAAACCAGGUGAUCUACCCAUGUCCAGGGUGAAGUUCAGGUAACACUGAAUGGAGGCCCGAACCCACGCACGUUGAAAAGUGCGGGGAUGAGGUGUGGGUAGCGGAGAAAUUCCAAUCGAACCUGGAGAUAGCUGGUUCUCCCCGAAAUAGCUUUAGGGCUAGCCUUAAGUGUAAGAGUCUUGGAGGUAGAGCACUGAUUGGACUAGGGGUCCUCAUCGGAUUACCGAAUUCAGUCAAACUCCGAAUGCCAAUGACUUAUCCUUAGGAGUCAGACUGCGAGUGAUAAGAUCCGUAGUCAAAAGGGAAACAGCCCAGACCGCCAGCUAAGGUCCCAAAGUGUGUAUUAAGUGGAAAAGGAUGUGGAGUUGCUUAGACAACUAGGAUGUUGGCUUAGAAGCAGCCACCAUUUAAAGAGUGCGUAAUAGCUCACUAGUCGAGUGACUCUGCGCCGAAAAUGUACCGGGGCUAAAUACACCACCGAAGCUGCGGAUUGAUACCGAAUGGUAUCAGUGGUAGGGGAGCGUUCUAAGGACAGUGAAGUCAGACCGGAAGGACUGGUGGAGUGCUUAGAAGUGAGAAUGCCGGUAUGAGUAGCGAAAGACGGGUGAGAAUCCCGUCCACCGAAUGCCUAAGGUUUCCUGAGGAAGGCUCGUCCGCUCAGGGUUAGUCAGGACCUAAGCCGAGGCCGACAGGCGUAGGCGAUGGACAACAGGUUGAUAUUCCUGUACCACCUCUUUAUCGUUUGAGCAAUGGAGGGACGCAGAAGGAUAGAAGAAGCGUGCGAUUGGUUGUGCACGUCCAAGCAGUUAGGCUGAUAAGUAGGCAAAUCCGCUUAUCGUAAAGGCUGAGCUGUGAUGGGGAAGCUCCUUAUGGAGCGAAGUCUUUGAUUCCCCGCUGCCAAGAAAAGCUUCUAGCGAGAUAAAAGGUGCCUGUACCGCAAACCGACACAGGUAGGCGAGGAGAGAAUCCUAAGGUGUGCGAGAGAACUCUGGUUAAGGAACUCGGCAAAAUGACCCCGUAACUUCGGGAGAAGGGGUGCUUUCUUAACGGAAAGCCGCAGUGAAUAGGCCCAAGCGACUGUUUAGCAAAAACACAGCUCUCUGCGAAGCCGUAAGGCGAAGUAUAGGGGGUGACACCUGCCCGGUGCUGGAAGGUUAAGGAGAGGGGUUAGCGUAAGCGAAGCUCUGAACUGAAGCCCCAGUAAACGGCGGCCGUAACUAUAACGGUCCUAAGGUAGCGAAAUUCCUUGUCGGGUAAGUUCCGACCCGCACGAAAGGUGUAACGAUUUGGGCACUGUCUCAACCAGAGACUCGGUGAAAUUAUAGUACCUGUGAAGAUGCAGGUUACCCGCGACAGGACGGAAAGACCCCGUGGAGCUUUACUGUAGCCUGAUAUUGAAUUUUGGUACAGUUUGUACAGGAUAGGCGGGAGCCUUUGAAACCGGAGCGCUAGCUUCGGUGGAGGCGCUGGUGGGAUACCGCCCUGACUGUAUUGAAAUUCUAACCUACGGGUCUUAUCGACCCGGGAGACAGUGUCAGGUGGGCAGUUUGACUGGGGCGGUCGCCUCCUAAAGUGUAACGGAGGCGCCCAAAGGUUCCCUCAGAAUGGUUGGAAAUCAUUCGUAGAGUGCAAAGGCAUAAGGGAGCUUGACUGCGAGACCUACAAGUCGAGCAGGGACGAAAGUCGGGCUUAGUGAUCCGGUGGAUCCGCAUGGAAGGGCCAUCGCUCAACGGAUAAAAGCUACCCCGGGGAUAACAGGCUUAUCUCCCCCAAGAGUCCACAUCGACGGGGAGGUUUGGCACCUCGAUGUCGGCUCAUCGCAUCCUGGGGCUGUAGUCGGUCCCAAGGGUUGGGCUGUUCGCCCAUUAAAGCGGUACGCGAGCUGGGUUCAGAACGUCGUGAGACAGUUCGGUCCCUAUCCGUCGUGGGCGUAGGAAAUUUGAGAGGAGCUGUCCUUAGUACGAGAGGACCGGGAUGGACGCACCGCUGGUGUACCAGUUGUUCUGCCAAGGGCAUAGCUGGGUAGCUAUGUGCGGAAGGGAUAAGUGCUGAAAGCAUCUAAGCAUGAAGCCCCCCUCAAGAUGAGAUUUCCCAUAGCGUAAGCUAGUAAGAUCCCUGAAAGAUGAUCAGGUUGAUAGGUUCGAGGUGGAAGCAUGGUGACAUGUGGAGCUGACGAAUACUAAUAGAUCGAGGACUUAACCAU
rnacentral:rRNA from 1 species